CUGAAAGUAGCAAUUUUUUCUAGAGAUAAUCCAGGCUUGGGUUUCAGUACAUAUAAACUAUAAUGGAGAGAAUUUGUGUUGGUGGUGGUUUAGAUAGAAUCAGUGGCCUUCCAAGCAAUGUAAUAGACCACAUCCUAGCAUGUUUGCCACUAAAAGACGCUGUGAGGACCAGUUCGUUGUCAAAGAAGUGGAAGGAAAAAUGGCAUACGGUGCCACAUAUUAUAGUUGAUGAGAACUUUUUCCAUGAAAGGUCACAACGGAAUCUUGAGGGCAUAAUCAAUUAUAUCCUCAUUAGACAUGAAGGGAAUAUUGAGAAAUUUUCUGUGUCUGUUGAAAAAGUGAAAGACUGUUACAACAUGAAGUUGUGGAUAUGGAGGCUAUUGCAGAAGUCAAUUAAGGAACUGUCCCUCAUUAUCCGCAGAGGUCAGCACAAUGAAGUACCAUCUGAUUUGUUUUCUUGUCAGCAGUUGAGAAAGUUAAGCCUCCGCCAUUUUGAGGUUAAACAGGCACAUUCAUUCAAAGGAUUUCAUAAUCUUAUUAGCCUUAAGUUGAACAAAGUUAACAUAGCAACUGACAUUUUUGAAAGGCUUAUUUCUGGAUGCCCACUGCUUGAACAAUUGACUGUAAGAAACUUGAGCUGCAUUGAUCAUCUUCACAUCAAUGUCCCCAAACUCAAGAAUUUUUGCUUUGAUGGAGAAUUCCAAUCUAUGUGUUUCAAUACUCCACUUCUUGAGGUUUUGU
rnacentral:misc_RNA from 1 species